rnacentral:rRNA from 1 species
CCUACGUGAGGCUGCAGUGAGGAAUAUUGGUCAAUGGGCUUACGCCUGAACCAGCCAAGUCGCGUGAGGGAAGACUGCCCUAUGGGUUGUAAACCUCUUUUGUCAGGGAGCAACGCCGGCUACGUGUAGCCGGACUGAGAGUACCUGAAGAAAAAGCAUCGGCUAACUCCGUGCCAGCAGCCGCGGUAAUACGGAGGAUGCGAGCGUUAUCCGGAUUUAUUGGGUUUAAAGGGUGCGUAGGCGGAAUGCCAAGUCAGCGGUAAAAUCGCGGGGCUCAACCUCGCUCCGCCGUUGAAACUGGCGUUCUUGAGUGGGCGAGAAGUAUGCGGAAUGCGUGGUGUAGCGGUGAAAGGCAUAGAGAUCACGCAGAACUCCGAUUGCGAAGGCAGCAUACCGGCGCCCAACUGACGCUGAAGCACGAAAGCGUGGGUAUCGAACAGGAUUAGAUACCCCAGUAGUC